rnacentral:rRNA from 1 species
UACGGAGGAUCCGAGCGUUAUCCGGAUUUAUUGGGUUUAAAGGGUGUGUAGGCGGAUUAGUAAGUCAGCGGUGAAAGCCUGCAGCUUAACUGCAGAAUUGCCAUUGAUACUGCUAGUCUUGAGUACAGUUGAAGUGGGUGGAAUGUGUUGUGUAGCGGUGAAAUGCAUAGAUAUAACACAGAACACCAAUAGCGAAGGCAGCUCACUAAACUGCAACUGACGCUGAGGCACGAAAGCGUGGGUAG